UACUAAUGGACGUUCUCGCUGCGACAAUUAGUGGGCUCAGCUGCGUACUUGACGACAACUGGGCCGCGCGAGGCGGGCCAGCUCAUACAGUUCCUCCACCACCAACCUUGCCCGUCUGCGGCGACGGCGCCGGCGAACUGCCCAAUGGCCUCUCCUCUUGCACGAGCCUCGGCCAUUCCUCGCCGUCAAUCCUCCCUCCCUGGCAUCACAUCUUUCCCCUACUUCCCAUCUCGAGGCGCGCCGCCCCGCCGCUCCUAAUCGCCGGCCUCCGGAGAGGGGGCCCACGAGGAACCUCGUCGCCGUCUGCGGUCUCAUCCCCCCUUAAUCCUCGUCGACUGAGGCCAAGAAUGGCUGAAUGGGGAUAAAUCAUACGAGCGGUUCAGUCAAAAACCACACGAGCCGCAUUCAAGGUCAUGAUCAAGGGUCGACAUCAACAAGUUGAGGAAGGUGCCUGGAAGGAAACCUUGCUUGACCGUCAACUAAGGUCUACGCCCAAGUCCUGCUGGUGCUGGCUGCUUGUUUCAUUUUCCAAGCGACCGGCUUCAACUUGGCCCCGCCAGCUGAGAGAAACAUCAAAGCAGACCAAAUGCCGAAUACACCAAAGGAGUCUACGUCUUCAUCGUCCGGAUGCGGCCAACCUAGCUCGGUCAGAAAAAGACUAUGUCCCCUUUACUAAGAUGCUAUUCUCUCCGUACCAAAAUAUUAUACUCCCUACGUCUCAGUUUACGAGUCCUGCACGUAUACCUAGGUUGUCAAUUUUAUCACCUAAUAUAAACUACAUAACACAAAAGUUAUACCGUUUCAAAAUAGAACAUAUGCCGUUUA